AUCGAACGCUGGCGGCAUGCCUAACACAUGCAAGUCGAGCGGAGCGGCGGACGGGUGAGUACUGCCUAGUAAUCUGCCUGGUAGUGGCGGAUAACGUCCGGAAACGUGCGCUAAUACCGCAUACUAUCAGAUGAGCCUAGGUCGGAUUAGCUAGUUGGUGUGGUAAAGGCUUACCAAGGCUACGAUCCGUCACUGGUCUGAGAGGACGAUCCGUCACACUGGAAAUGAGACACGGUCCAGACUCCUACGGGAGGCAGCAGUGGGGAAUAUUGGACAAGGGGCGAAAGACUGAUCCAGCCAUGACGCGUGUGUGAAGAAGGUCUUCGGAUUGUAAAGCUCUUUAAGUUGGGAGGCGUUACCAACAGAAUAAGCACCGGCUAACUUCGUGCCAGCAGCCGCGGUAAUAC
rnacentral:rRNA from 1 species